UACGGGGGGGGGCAAGCGUUGUUCGGAAUUACUGGGCGUAAAGGGCCAGUAGGCGGCCAACUAAGUCCGACGUGAAAUCCCCAGGCUUAACCUGGGAACUGCGUCGGAUACUGGAUGGCUUGAAUUCGGGAGAGGGAUGCAGGAUUCCAGGUGUAGCGGUGAAAUGCGCAGAUAUCAGGAGGAACACCGGUGGCGAAGGCGGGUCUCUGGGCCGAUACUGACGCUGAGGAGCGAAAGCGUGGGGAGCGAACAGG
rnacentral:rRNA from 1 species